AUUGAACGCUGGCGGAAUGCUUUACACAUGCAAGUCGAACGGCAGCACGGACUUCGGUCUGGUGGCGAGUGGCGAACGGGUGAGUAAUACAUCGGAACGUGCCCAAUCGUGGGGGAUAACGUAGCGAAAGCUACGCUAAUACCGCAUACGAUCUAAGGAUGAAAGCGGGGGAUCGCAAGACCUCGCGCGAUCGGAGCGGCCGAUGGCAGAUUAGGUAGUUGGUAGGGUAAAGGCCUACCAAGCCGACGAUCUGUAGCUGGUCUGAGAGGAUGAUCAGCCACACUGGGACUGAGACACGGCCCAGACUCCUACGGGAGGCAGCAGUGGGGAAUUUUGGACAAUGGACGCAAGUCUGAUCCAGCCAUUCCGCGUGCAGGAUGAAGGCCCUCGGGUUGUAAACUGCUUUUGUACAGAACGAAAAGGCUCUGGUUAAUACCUAGGGCUCAUGACGGUACUGUAAGAAUAAGCACCGGCUAACUACGUGCCAGCCGCCGCAGUGA
rnacentral:rRNA from 1 species